rnacentral:rRNA from 1 species
GACGAACGCUGGCGGCGUGCUUAACACAUGCAAGUCGAACGGUGAACUCUCCUUCGGGAGGGGGAUCAGUGGCGAACGGGUGAGUAACACGUGACCAACCUGCCCCUUGCUCUGGGAUAACCCCGGGAAACCGGAGCUAAUACCGGAUACGAGACCGUAUGGCAUCACAUGGUCUGGAAAGUUUUUCGGCAAGGGAUGGGGUCGCGGCCUAUCAGCUUGUUGGUGGGGUAAUGGCCUACCAAGGCGACGACGGGUAGCCGGCCUGAGAGGGCGACCGGCCACACUGGGACUGAGACACGGCCCAGACUCCUACGGGAGGCAGCACUGCAGCAUAUUGCGCAACCCAAAAAGCCUGACGCAGCGACGCAGCGUGAGGGAUGACGGCCUUCCGGUUGUAAACCUAUUUCAGCAGGGAAGAGGCGAAAGUGACGGUACCCGCAGAAGAAGCACCGGCUAACUACGUGC